rfam:Clostridiales bacterium KA00134 genomic scaffold Scaffold6, whole genome shotgun sequence.
UACCUAUUAAGAGCGGUGGAGUGAAUGGGCACUGUGAAACCCGGCAACCUGUAAGUGGUGCUAAAUCCCACAGAGUAAAUCUGGAAGAUGGGUU